AACGGAGGCGCCCAAAGGUUCCCUCAGCCUGGUUGGCAAUCAGGUGUCGAGUGCAAGUGCACAAGGGAGCUUGACUGUGAGACAGACAUGUCGAGCAGGGACGAAAGUCGGGACUAGUGAUCCGGCACCUCCUGGUGGAAGGGGUGUCGCUCAACGGAUAAAAGGUACCCCGGGGAUAACAGGCUGAUCUUGCCCAAGAGUCCAUAUCGACGGCAUGGUUUGGCACCUCGAUGUCGGCUCGUCGCAUCCUGGGGCCGGAGUAGGUCCCAAGGGUUGGGCUGUUCGCCCAUUAAAGCGGCACGCGAGCUGGGUUUAGAACGUCGUGAGACAGUUCGGUCCCUAUCCGCCGCGCGCGCAGGAUACUUGAGGAAGGCUGUCCCUAGUACGAGAGGACCGGGACGGACGGACCUCUGGUGUGCCAGUUGUCACGCCAGUGGCAUGGCUGGUUGGCUAUGUUCGGAAGGGAUAACCGCUGAAGGCAUCUAAGCGGGAAGCCUGUUCCAAGAUGAGGUAUCCCACCCCGUGUGGGUUAAGGCCCCCAAGAGACGAUUGGGUUGAUAGGCCAGAAAUGGAAGCACAGUAAUGUGUUGUCGAGUUGACUGGUACUAAUAGGCCGAGGACUUGCCCACAA
rnacentral:rRNA from 1 species